AAAAAACAAAAAAUGUUCAACUCAAUCUUUCUUCCUCCCUGCAAACCCAUACAAAACAGGGAUUCUUUUAAACUGGCACAAGCUGCAAGGUUUGUGUGUCUUCCUCCACUUGAGCUUUGUUUUCCCAAGUAAAUAACACCAUAUGUGUACACAGCUAUUGUGGGAAACAUGAGUCAUUGGCUAGAGAGAGAGGAGGGGAGAGAGAGAGAGAUGGGGAGAGGGAGGAAGAGAGGGAGGGAGAGCAAGCGUAUGAGCACACAGUGGCUGGGCAUAGCGGCACACGCCUGUGGUCCCAGCACUCAGGAGACUGAGGCUGAAGGAUUACCAGUUUGAAGCCAACCAGGGUUGUUAAACAUUGAACCCUUAGAGGUAGGGAAGGAGGAAGGGAUCUGGGAGAGAUAAGAACAGAACACUUGGCGGACCCCUUUCUGUGGGUUGUUUUGUAGGCAGCACAAGGCUGAGUCAAGGAUAACGAUGCUCACGUUAGUUUUGUCUGAGCGUGCACUGUCAAGAGCACCUGUCUGUCAAACCCAUGUGUUUUCAUUCAGGAAACAAACAAACAAAAUAAUUUUUAAGAGAGAGAGAGAGAGAAAAUGCUAAUUAUAUAAUUUUCAUAUGCUCUUAGCUGCUGAUGUUCUAGCAAAAACUGUCCUUGGUGAAAUCUGUGGCCAGUUGAAUGCGUUCAUUUGGUAGUGUUUCAUAAAUAUUAUAGUCUUUAUAUAUGCUUUUUUGGAUUUUAUUUUAAACAGUGCUACUGUUUUAUGGUCAUUUCUAAGUAUCAAUGGCUUUUUUUUUUAAUGUUUUUAAAAUGUUUCAAGAAAGUAAAAUGCUUUUAAUGUUACAGAGACCUAAAGAAGAAAGGAACAGAAUUAAUUAGCCUUUUCUUGAGCAAUUUGAAAUUCCAGAUUACACUGGUCUAAUUAUGCUGUGCUGUGUUUAAGAAGAAUAAGCUAAUAAAAAAAAAUUCAUCCCUUUGCUCUGAACAUUGACUUUAAAAAUCUGGACGAUUCGUGAGCUAGCCCUGUUCUGAUAAAGCACAGGUUUAAUUCAGUGACUCUGGCUUUCCGCAACCACAGCUAGACCUCUGUCAUCUGCUCUGCUCUCAGCAAUAUCGUCCAUGUUCCCACAACAGUUGACAGCAUUUCCAGCCUAGACUCCAAAGUCCUUCACAAUCUCCCACCAAAACAUGGUUAUGUCUGUCACAGCAGUCCCUAUGACCCUGAUACCACUUUCUUAGUUUGCUUUUUAUUACUGUGGUAAACACCAUGACUGAAAGCAACUUGGGGAGGAAAGGGCUUAUUUAGCUUGCGUAUCCUGAGUCACAACAGUCCACUGCAGGAGUCAAGGCAGGAAGUUAAUGGUAGGAGCCUGGAGGCAGGAGCUGAAGCCGAUGCCAUGCACAAGUGCUCCUUAUUGGCUUCCUCAGGCCUCUUGUAGUAGCCUGAUAGCCCAUGGGUGGUGCUACCCACAGUGGGCUGGGCUCUCCCACAUCACUCACUAAUCAGGAAAACACUCUACAGACGUGUCUACCAGCAAUCUAAUGGAGGUGUUUCCUCAGUUGAGGUUCCUCCAGAUAACUCUAGCUGGGUCAAGUUGACAGAAAACCUAUCAGGACACCCCAUCUCUUUUGUCAGUAGCAGACCAGGCAUUUCAGAAAUCCUCCUGCAUUUUAAAUCCAUCUGUGGAAACCAGAUGCACAAUUUAUUUCAAGUCUCUGUUUAGAAAUGAAGCUGUGCAGGUAGGUAAUCUAAAGGGAAAGUGUCACUAGCAACCACAAACAUGACUAAUCUUAGUUACCCAAAGAACAUUAAAGUAUUUCUGUGCUUGUUACAAAACCUUUCCCUGUCUCUGUGUGCUGGCUCUGACUGUAGACUAGCCAGAGGGGAAGGCUUGCUUUGGGAAUGUGUGUGGUGAGGAAGAAAGCCGGCAGCCGGGUAGAAUCUGCUGUGGCCUCUAGGCUAGCUCCUCUCCUGCAGUUCCACAUUUUCCAGUUCCAAAAGAAAAAAAGAAAAACUGGUUACUAAAGGUUACUUUUUCCGGUCAUUUUCUGUGCAACUAGAUUGGAAGGAUUUGGCAAAGUUCCUAAGAAAUUCAUUGAGCCUUUUCCUACCUGUGCUCUACAAGAAAUGCAUAGUUGGAGCUUAGUGGGUGGUGUGUCUCAUAUGCCUCCCUGCCAAGAAGUGGGACACAGGUAAUAAAGGACCUUUCCAAAGAGAGUUGUUUAAAACAUAUAAAAAAUGUAAAAGCGCCUAUAGUAAACACUUUACUCUGAGGAUUCAAUUGUUCUUCCUAAUACUUUUUUUCCAAACAAGAGGAGGUUUAAGAAGUUUGGAGAUCCAGAGAAAGCUUUAAACACAAACAGCUACUUCUCAUGAGGUUGUAUGUUACUCGAUUUCAAAACAACAAAAC
rnacentral:lncRNA from 1 species